UCCGUAGGUGGAUAAUUAAGUCAGAGGUGAAAUCCUGCAGCUCAACUGUAGAAUUGCCUUCGAUACUGGUUAUCUUGAGUCAUUAUGAAGUGGUUAGAAUGUGUAGUGUAGCGGUGAAAUGCAUAGAUAUUACACAGAAUACCGAUUGCGAAGGCAGAUCACUAAUAAUGUACUGACACUGAGGGACGAAAGCGUGGGGAGCGUACAGGAUUAGAUACCCUGGUAGUCC
rnacentral:rRNA from 1 species